rnacentral:rRNA from 2 species
ACAUCCCUCGACCGCGUAUGAAGUAACGUUUUCUACCCUCCGGGUGGACAGGGAGGACAGGUGGUGCAUGGUUGUCGUCAGCUCGUGUCGUGAGAUGUUGGGUUAAGUCCGCACGAGCGCAACCCUUGUCUUUAGUUGUCCAUCAUUAAGUUUGGGCGACUCUAAAGAGACUGCCGAUGACAAAUCGGAGGAAGGUGGGGAUGACGUCAAAUCAUCAUGCCCUUUAUGUCCUGGGCUACACACGUGCUACAAUGGUCGGUACAACGAGAAGCAAGUCAGCGAUGGCAAGCAAAUACUCUAAAAGCCGAUCCCAGUUCGGAUUGCAGGCUGCAACUCGCCUGCAUGAAGUCGGAGUUGCUAGUAAUCGCGGAUCAGAAUGCCGCGGUGAAUGCGUUCCCGGGUCUU